CUUCAUUUCACAACACUGGCCCUCUGCAGCUUCACAGUUGUUUUUGGUUUUGAUUUUUUUUUUUUCGGUUUUAAAAAUGUCUUUGCCUAUAGACAAAUUCAAGAGUAACAGGAAUCACAAAGUAGUCAAGUUGUGAGUUUAGUGAAAAGCAGGCAAUUGAGAAGGGCAAGAGUCCAAUAUCUAUUCUUGUCAGAUACCAAAGAAUCCACAUAAUAAAUGAUGUUGCGAAUGUUCUGCUCUAUUUGGAAGCUGUAUAGUGUGGAAGAAUCCAUAGAGCAGUCAAUUGUCUUUGUCUCCUUCUUGCAGAAAGCAGUGGAAGCCUUUUACUGCCUGGAAUGUUGUUACUCCUCUCUGUGUGCUAGAAGAUGUGUUCAUUUAAAAGCAACGCUCCAGGAAAUAUGGAAUGUACAAGAUUUGCAAGCCAAAUCUUCUGGCGUUCGCAGGAGCAGAGAAAGCAGACAGGUGUAUGCAGUUACACUGUCGAACAUUUUUAAUGUAAAGCAAGGAGAUCAUUAGAUUCAUUAAGUUAACCAUGCUUUUUUGUCUCACAUUGUGACAGCUAGCUAGCUUUUAAAAGUGACUUCUAAAACCCUUCUCUUUACCCACACUCAGCUGACAUCUUUCCAGGAAUGGCUGUGGAUCGGCAGGUACCGUCUCGGAGGCUCCAUACCAGAGGCACUGCUUCGAGGUCCUUGUUGGUUUCCUUCCAUAUGUGAUUGCAUUUGCAGCUUAUUGUUAAUUCUCCUGUUACGUGGAUCAAACAAAAAUGUGCUGUUUUGCAUGAGAAAUUAGUAAUCUGGGUAUCAGACUUUUUCAGAGUAGGUUCCUGUUGCAGCUGUAGAAAUCUGUCUACUGCCUGUUAGGAAAUCACAGGCUGCAGAUUAUAGGUCUUGAAAUUGCAGAAGCAGCAUGUGUCUUUUCAGCCAUCUUGAAGGGCAAAUCACUAUAAUCAGUCCUUGUUUAUCCAAAUAAAAGAAGAGCUUUAAAAAAGAAUAUAAAUCUUUUCCUGUCUCUGACAUCCAUAAGCAAACACACUGUUCUUUGACUUUCACUCUGUUACCUUUUUAUCUUGCAUUCAUUUUAUGUUCUACAUUUAUUUCCCUUUGUCUUUUUCCCAGUGGAGUCAGCCUGUUGUGGGAACAUACAAUAGCAUUUUUUCCUGUUCGUUGUGAGGAGGGAACAAUGGUUGUUCUGUUGGAAAGGCAAAUUUUCUUCAAUUGAAGCCCUGGGAAGCUAGGAAAUACAUAAUAUUCAACAAAUCUUCUGGGCAGAAGGAGCGACCAGAAGUUGAAAUGGAUUUACUCUAACAUUUUCUUUUUCACAGCGUUCCUCUCAUGUUUCAAGUCAAGGCAAAAAGGUGUGUGGUGUACUUUGGAACGUCCUGUGCAGCAGCAGGAAAGUCACAGGGAGAUAGAAAAGUACUUGUUAUCCUCAUCUCACAGGAACCCUUAUCUUGCAAUCUCAUACCAAUAAAACUUUCAGCUGAUUCUUCAUUACGAAUGAUUGAUUUGAGAAAAAUUGUAGGAGAAGUUUGUAUUUUAGACGUACAGUGAAGAAGCAAGUUGUCCCACGCUGUGUGGGAGCACCUUCCCAAAAAGAAUGGCCUCUUUCCUGUCGUCAUGUGCUGGAAGUCUUUGAUCUACAUUCAUUGUGGCUUCCUACAGGGAUGUUUGACCACUGCAUAUAAGAAUACAUUUUAUGAAAUCAAUGCUGCUACCCCCAGGCUUUGCAUUUCUCCAUGGCACUCCUAACAGACUGUGGCUCAAUACAGAAGUUCUUUCUCUUUCUCUUUCCAGCCUGUCUGGCCAGAAGUUUUACCUUCACCAACAGGUUUUUGAUCAAGGGACAAUAAAGGGGACACGGAGUAAAUGGCAGAACCUCUCUGUUCAUUCUAGCAUCAGGCUGCAAAAGAGCUACCUUGCAGAUGGCUGCUGUCAUAUGUGUCUGUAGGAAGGCAUUACCUUAGUGAGAAUUAGAGAUCCAGCCCUAGAGAAGAUCGUGUGUUGUUUUGAAGCUACUGUAGCUUCAAAACUAAAAGUGCUGUGGCUGGUUCAGAGAGAGACUUUUGUCAAUGAACUUCUUUAGAUUUCUUUUCAAAAUUCUAUAUCUUCCCUCUUGACUUCCCUUGGGCAGGGCAGUGGAACUUCAUUAAGAAGGAGAAGAGUAAGGUAGACAAGAUCUUAACACAUUCCUUAAGUAAAUCAGUUUGCUACAGUGCAAUGCCGAUAAGUUCUGUCAGUAAGGUUAGUGUGAAGAAUACAACAUUAGAUAAAGGAGAGCUACUUCUGACGUGCGACUUGGAUGUAUGUCUGUGGUCAGGAUUGACUCAUUCACUUAUGCUGUUCCACGUGAUGGAGGCAUUUGAAAAAUAAGGAGGAGAAAUGUGUCUUGUUUCAAAAAAUACAAAAAGUCUGAAGCUUUAUUUAAAAAUAUAAUUAAAUCAGUCAGUUGUGCAAAAAAAGAAAAAAGAAAAAGAGAGAGAGAGAGAUAGACUGUAUGGAAAACCUGCACUGUGAAGUGUUUUCUGCUGCAUGCAUUUCUUCAUUUGUUUUUAAACAGCUGCUUCUUUGUGCUUGGAAAGAAUCUUGUCAGUACCCAAUACUCUUUCUAACCUUUGUACAGCAGAAGUCUUUUUUACAGUGUUUCCUCUGCUGUUGGGCUAGGGUUAAUCAUCUCCAUCUCACUGAUAAGAAGAACCAUAUGCUGUGAUUCUGAAUGUGGAUAAUCAUCUUACUCCCACGGCUGUCAAUCUAUCCCUGCUUUCAUUGCCUGUUCUUUAUAGAGCGUCUUUUUCCUGAAGAACUUAAAAUAGUGUGCCAUAACAAGUGUGAGUAACUGUAUUGGCUGUCACAGAGUGAAUCAGUAAAAACAUUAAAACAGUUAUAGUUUCACUGCCAGUUUUAUAUCGUGAGCACUGUUUUAGACAAUGCUCUAUCUUCCGAUAAUUGUCUUUUAUGGCUCAGAAUGUGUAUCUGCCACCUACCAGUCUGUGAUAAAGAUCUGGUUUUCAGUAGUAUAAUAUAGAUUGGUUUCACGUUACUUUGGCAAAUGAGAAGUUGCAUAAAAGCUGCUAUCGUGGGACAAUUACUCCUGGAUUUUUAGCCACCUUUGUGUGGUGAAAAUAGAGUUACGAAAAUCAUUAUUUGAAUAUUGUGUAUUCUGUACUGUAUGCCUGAAAUAGUUUCUAGGAGGAGGCAAAAGGCCUGCAACAGAUCUGUUAGCUUGCUUACAGAAAGAAGCUACCAGUAGGCUGCAUUCUGUAAAAGUGGUGUCAACACUAUGCCGUGCUAAUGGUACAGAUCCCAUCGACAACCGUAGAGUCAUCUAGGAUGGAAAAUAUCAUCAAGAUCACCAAGUCCGACCAUUAGCCUAACCUGCCAACUCCCAUCACCAAACCAUACUGCUCAGUGCCUCAUCCAUGCAUCUGCUUGCAGGGAGGGGAACUCCACCUCCUUUCUGAGCAGCCCCUUCCAAUGGUUGGCUGGCCUCUCCGAAGAAAUUCAUCCUGAUAUCUACUGUAAACCCCUCCUGCAACUUGAGACUGUUUCCUCAGGUCCUGUCUUUGUCACCUACGAAAGGAGACUGACACCUCCUUGCUGCAACCUCCUUUCAGGUAGCUGUAGAGAGCUAUAGGGUCUCCCCUCACUCUUCUGAUCUCCAGACUGAACAGCUCUAGUUCUCUCAGCUGCUUCUCUUAAGACCCAUUUUCUAGUUCCUUCACCAGAUUUGUUCUUCUCUGAACAUGUCUGGGCAACUCACUGUCCUUCUUUGUUCCUGUGGAGGGGUAAGAACAAGAGAUUCAGUCAACUUUCUUGAAACUAAUUUUUCCUUUCUCCUCUUUUAUGAGAAACAGACCUUACUAACAAUUGCAAAACAAUGCUAAGCUGUAGCUGACAGUCAUCUCUAUGGUCCACAGUGAAGUUGUGUGGAAAUAUUCUAGGACAAAGGACAAUUGCCAUUAAAGAAAGCCUUGGGGAGAGGCUAAGGAAAAGAAUCUCUAUCAUAAGAGCAUGAGCAAGGAGGGGAAUGACUUGUAUAAGAGGUAAUGAAAGCGGACAGAAUCUGGGAAGAUAUGUAUGCACCACUUCUGCUUUUUGUGUUGGUUUUGCAAUAUCCAUGUUUCUUGUAGUGCACCACAGCCAGCUAUGUUCACUUGUCCAUGCUGGGGAGAGGCCAGCCCACUGAUGUCCAAGUCAACUGUAUGUGCACAGCAAUUUCAACAUGAUGGGCACCCCACAUGUGCUGGUGUGGGAGCAGAAGGAAUUGUGUUUCCCCAGCAAAAGAAAGGAAAACAAGGACAGUAGGAGGAGCAUGAAGAGGGGGGUGAAACAUCUCUUGGGGUAUAAAUUAUCUCAUAGAUAUCCCUGAAACCACUGAUUUUUUGUCAUUCCAUAUGGAAGAUGGGAAGUUUGUCCCUGAUAUUAAUUUUGCAAAGCCCAGAGGGAAAGCAGGCUCCAGUGGACACCUUUCUUGCCUGAUUGUCAGAGCAUCAAUCAAAAGUCAGGUCUUUUCUUUGUCCAGUCCAUUGCAGGAGCUUCAGCUUGAAUCUUGCCCCUUGCAGAAAGCUCUGAACACCAUAAUCCUAAGGACUUCCAUAACUACUAUAGAAAUCUCCUUCCCCCUAGCAAAUCAUACUCCAGUUGGUGCUUUCCAUGCUAAACUCCCUGUGAUCCCUUUAAGGAAACAAGGAAACAAGGCCUUUGCUGUGUUUUUUUUUUUUUUUCUUUUUUCCUGCAAGUAGCAUUUUUGCAUUGCUUAUACACCUGUGGAUUGUAAUUUGAAAUAAAAUGUCUCCUUUCUUGUGUCUGUGAGCUUUCCUGAGGCAGGAGCUGUCUGGAACUGUCCUUAGAUGAAGAGAAGCAGCAUGGGCAGACAGCAGCUCCUUGCCCUUAUGAUCUGAGAGUCUCAUUGGUAUGCCCAGAUAACUGAAAGUCUUACAGGAACCAAACACAUCAGAAAUCAGUAUGGCACCCAGGCCAGAAAACAGGCACUGUGAGUGAAAAAUAGCCUCUUACUGUCCAACAGAGAAGAAUUGAACAAACAAAAAGCCACCCCAAAUAG
ensembl:lncRNA